rnacentral:piRNA from 1 species
UAUGGAAAGCAACCAUCGCAGCCCC